rnacentral:rRNA from 1 species
CGGAUUAAGGAAACCGGCGCACGGGUGCGGAGCGCGUCUGCAACUUGCCCUUAUCAGGAGGAUAGCCCGGGGAAACUCGGAUUAAUACUCCAUAAGAUUUUGAUUGGCAUCGAUUAAAAUUGAAAGAUUUAUUGGAUAAGGAUAGGCAUGCGUCAGAUUAGUUAGUUGGUAGUGUAACGGACUACCAAGGCGAUGAUCUGUAGGGGGCCUGAGAGGGUGAACCCCCACACUGGUACUGAGACACGGACCAGACUCCUACGGGAGGCAGCAGUGAGGAAUAUUGGACAAUGGAGGGAACUCUGAUCCAGCCAUCCCGCGUGCAGGAAGACGGCCCUAUGGGUUGUAAACUGCUUUUGUAUGGGGAUAAAUCUACCUACGUGUAGGUAGUUGAAGGUACCAUACGAAUAAGCAUCGGCUAACUCCGUGCCAGCAGCCGCGGUAAUACGGAGGAUGCAAGCGUUAUCCGGAUUCAUUGGGUUUAAAGGGUCCGUAGGCGGGCUGAUAAGUCAGUGGUGAAAUUUUGUCGCUCAACGAUAAAACUGCCAUUGAUACUGUUAGUCUUGAGUGAUAUUGAAGUAGCUGGAAUGUGUAGUGUAGCGGUGAAAUGCAUAGAUAUUACACAGAACACCGAUUGCGAAGGCAGGUUACUAAGUAUUAACUGACGCUGAAGGACGAAAGCGUGGGGAGCGAACAGGAUUAGAUACCCUGGUAGUCCACGCAGUAAACGAUGCUAACUCGUUUUCGGG